rnacentral:rRNA from 1 species
AUUGAACGCUGGCGGCAGGCCUAACACAUGCAAGUCGAGCGGAUGAAGGGAGCUUGCUCCUGGAUUCAGCGGCGGACGGGGGAGUAAUGCCUAGGAAUCUGCCUGGUAGUGGGGGAUAACGUCCGGAAACGGGCGCUAAUACCGCAUACGUCCUGAGGGAGAAAGUGGGGGAUGUUCGGACCGCACGCGAUCAGAUGAGCCUAGGUCGGAUUAGCUAGUUGGUGGGGUAAAGGCCUACCAAGGCGACGAUCCGUAACUGGUCUGAGAGGAUGAUCAGUCACCCUGGAGCUGAGACAGGGUCCAGACGACUAAGGGAGGCCGCAGUGGGGAAUAUUGGACAAUGGGCGAAAGCAUGAUCCAGUCAUGCCGCGUGUGUGAAGAAGGUCUUCGGAUUGUAAAGCCCUUUAAGUUGUGAGGAAGGGCAGUAAGUUAAUACCUUGCUGUUUUGACGUUAACAACAGAAUAAGCACCGGCUAACUUCGUG